AGUGAACGCUGGCGGUAGGCCUGACACAUGCAAGUCGAACGGCAGCACAGUAAGAGCUUGCUCUUACGGGUGGCGAGUGGCGGACGGGUGAGGAAUACAUCGGAAUCUACUUUUUCGUGGGGGAUAACGUAGGGAAACUUACGCUAAUACCGCAUACGACCUACGGGUGAAAGCAGGGGAUCUUCGGACCUUGCGCGAUUGAAUGAGCCGAUGUCGGAUUAGCUAGUUGGCGGGGUAAGGGCCCACCAAGGCGACGAUCCGUAGCUGGUCUGAGAGGAUGAUCAGCCACACUGGAACUGAGACACGGUCCAGACUCCUACGGGAGGCAGCAGUGGGGAAUAUUGGACAAUGGGCGCAAGCCUGAUCCAGCCAUACCGCGUGGGUGAAGAAGGCCUUCGGGUUGUAAAGCCCUUUUGUUGGGAAAGAAAAGCAGCAGGUUAAUACCCCGCUGUUCUGACGGUACCCAAAGAAUAAGCACCGGCUAACUUCGUG
rnacentral:rRNA from 1 species